UAACUAACUUACACCCCAUUCUAAACCCUAUAUUUGUUAACAUUGAUUAUUAAAUGAAAAAAAAAAAACGAUAGCAUAUUUAUUGAUAAUAUCAAACCAUGAUUUAUAAGAUUUUUUUUUUAUUACAUGAAACCCCACUAGUAACCUUUCUUUGAUUAUCUUCGUUCAAACUUUGACAAGUGAGUAUAUUUUACAAAUGUCAAAGUUGUUUUACAUAUUCCCGUUAAAUCCAUGUGCUAAUAUGGAUCAGCAGGUCAAGGUUGACUGUUUCGUGUAUUCUUCUUACUAACAAAAAAUACAUCAUGCUCUUUGUAUUCAGUUGUCAAGAUGGACGGGUAUAAGACAGACGACAGUUUGUGGCAAGCGUUGGAUUUGGUAGAAGAGACUAAAGAUGAAGACAAUAUUAUAACCCAAAAUACUUACCUGUAUCAGUUUAAUAAAGUUUCAGUAUAUUCCUCUGCGUAUAAAUUGUAUUGGGGUAAAAAAAAGUGGAACAUUGGAAAGGCCUAUAUAGUAUUUAUCGCAACUCGGAUAAAUAGUGACGCUGUGAUUGGUUUAACGCCGUCACGUGGUGACCACAUAUGGAUCCGUAUGGGGCUUUCGUGUACCACGCAGCGGUGCUGUUGCUACACAGGUUAUUUGCAAGUAUUUCAAGAUUUUUAUCCAUUGUCCACAUUUAUUCAUGUUAGGCAGUCUUCAUACAGGAGCUUCUCAGGGAGAAUGAACAAAAACUAGUAUUAUCCUUUAACUACACUAAAUAAUUCAAAGUUUGGUGACUAUGUUGAACACAUCUAUCACAUCGAUCUUGAAGUUAAUAAUCAAGCAGAUACAGUAAAUUUUGAAUCGUAUUUUGACUUGCAUCUUGAAAUUAACAAUGAUGGUCUGUUGAGGACAAAACUUUAUGACGAAAGUGAUGAUUUCAGCUCUCAAUUAUGAACUUUCCUAUUUCCAUGUAUUAACAUUCCAGCAGCUCCUGCAUAUGGAGUAUACAUUUCCUAGUUGGUACUAUUUUCAGUGCGUGCAUUUCAUAUGAUUUCCUUGAUAGGGGGUUGCUGCGGAAGCUGUUAAACCAAGGGUUCUAAGUAGUUAAAGUUGAAGUCAACCCUUCGAAAAUUUUAAGGACACUUUUAAGUUUAAAUGAGCAACACGACGGGUGCCACAUACAGGGCAUACUCUACCUACCUUUCCAGUGCACGUGAGACCACACCUGAUGUUGGAUGGGUUCGUUUUGCAUAAUCUUUAUUUUUCUAUAUUGUGUUUUGUAGACUGUUUUUUGCAAUGGCGUUGUAAAAUUGUCUUUGACUCAUAUGUGUUAUUACAUUUGGUGUCUUUCGCCUCCCUUUAAAUGGUUGAAUUUCUACACAGUUCAUCCAUUUUAUGAUAUUCAAUAAUCAAUGUAUGAAUUUAUUCAUUUUAAUAAAUGUUUGUAUCAAAUUUUUUUCAGCUGGUUGAUUAUCAGUCAAUAAAGCGGUUACAACUAAAAUAAUUCAUAUUUUCGGAUAUAGCAUUGAUUUU